rnacentral:rRNA from 1 species
GACUCUCGGCAACGGAUAUCUAGGCUCUCGCAUCGAUGAAGAACGUAGCAAACUGCGAUACAUGGUGUGAAUUGCAGAAUCCCGUGAACCAUCGAGUCUUUGAACGCAAGUUGCGCCUGAAGCCAUUAGGCUGAGGGCACGUCUGCCUGGGCGUCAC